rnacentral:rRNA from 1 species
GCGCUAGGUGUGGGUCCCAUUCCACGGGGUCCGUGCCGCAGCUAACGCAUUAAGCGCCCCGCCUGGGGAGUACGGCCGCAAGGCUAAAACUCAAAGGAAUUGACGGGGGCCCGCACAAGCGGCGGAGCAUGCGGAUUAAUUCGAUGCAACGCGAAGAACCUUACCAAGGCUUGACAUAAACCGGAAACCUCCAGAGAUGGGGGCCCCGCAAGGUCGGUAUACAGGUGGUGCAUGGUUGUCGUCAGCUCGUGUCGUGAGAUGUUGGGUUAAGUCCCGCAACGAGCGCAACCCUCGUUCUAUGUUGCCAGCACGUGAUGGUGGGGACUCAUAGGAGACUGCCGGGGUCAACUCGGAGGAAGGUGGGGAUGACGUCAAAUCAUCAUGCCCCUUACGUCUUGGGCUUCACGCAUGCUACAAUGGCCGGUACAGAGGGCUGCGAAACCGUGAGGUGGAGCGAAUCCCUUAAAGCUGGUCUCAGUUCGGAUUGGGGUCUGCAACUCGACCCCAUGAAGUCGGAGUCGCUAGUAAUCGCAGAUCAGCAACGCUGCGGUGAAUACGUUCCCGGGCCUUGUACACACCGCCCGUCAAGUCACGAAAGUCGGUAACACCCGAAGCCGGUGGCCCAACCUCUUGUAUGGGGGAGCCGUCGAAGGUGGGGCUG